rnacentral:rRNA from 1 species
AUUGAACGCUGGCGGCAGGCCUAACACAUGCAAGUCGAGCGGAUGAAGGGAGCUUGCUCCUGGAUUCAGCGGCGGACGUGUGAGUAAUGCCUAGGAAUCUGCCUGGUAGUGGGGGAUAACGUCCGGAAACGGGCGCUAAUACCGCAUACGUCCUGAGGGAGAAAGUGGGGGAUCUUCGGACCUCACGCUAUCAGAUGAGCCUAGGUCGGAUUAGCUAGUUGGUGGGGUAAAGGCCUACCAAGGCGACGAUCCGUAACUGGUCUUAGAGGAUGAUCAGUCACACUGGAACUGAGACACGGUCCAGACUCAUACGGGAGGCAGCAGUGGGGAAUAUUGGACAAUAGGCGAAAGCAUGAUCCAGCCAUGCCGCGUGUGUGAAGAAGGUCUUCGGAUUGUAAAGCACUUUAAGUUGGGAGGAAGGGCAGUAAGUUAAUACCUUGCUGUUUUGACGUUACCAACAGAAUAAGCACCGGCUAACUUCGUG